rnacentral:lncRNA from 10 species
AAACUUCUGGCAAGCUAAAACUGAGAACAGGUUAUCAAAGGGAUGUGUGCCUGUUCACUUUUAGAAGUGUAUUAGGUCUUUCAUAGCUGAGAAAGGACAGAAAUAGGGAGAUAAAGUCGUUCACCUCAGAUCACAAGCUAAAUUGGUGGUAAAGGCUGGACUAGAAUCUAGAUGUAAUGGGUAACUUUCACCCACAUUAUGUCAGUCCCAUUUAGACUUCCUUGGUUGACUAGUAUUGAUGUAACCAAAAAGACAUCUACUCAAAAUUCAAUAUUCUAAUGGUAGUUAUUGAGAACUUACUAUCUGUCUGGUCCUGUUUAAAGAGUAGGACAUAUAGCAGUGAAUCAGGCACUUUUUUUUUUUUUUUAUCAAGAACUUUCUGGCAAAGAUAUAUAUUUUGUUCCUGCGAGAGGCCAUUUGUUGCAUAUCAACAGCCAGAUAAGCCUUAAACAAACAGGUAAGGCAGCUGAAGUUUGAAGAAGUUAAAUAACUUAUCAAAAGUUUGGACAGAACCUACAAUCAAAACCACGUCCUUUUGAUGCCGAAGUUCAUUUUCUUCCAUGCUACACAGUCUUACAUCAAGACAGCGUGUUGGCUGAUAUCAGACAGAGAAGACUAAAAUCCACAAGGGGAAAUUUAUGGAGGUUUCUGUACAAAAAAAAGAAGAGGAAGAGCAAGGAGGAAAAGGAGGAGAACAGAAAAGAGAGGAAGGAGGAGUAGAAGGAGAGAAAUGACCAUUCUACCUAAAUAAACAACUCUAUCUAAAUCAUGCAUCAGCAGGAGGAUAUUUAUGGCCUCAGCACAUUUCUUUUACUGCAUGCUAGAGACACUUGGCUUUUCCCUCGCAAAUUCAAAUGUCAGUGGAAUGGCUAACUCAUGUGAACAGGCUUUUUUCCCAGGGAGGAGCCAGCCACACAAUAAAAUUUAAAUGGAAAAAAAGCUUCCUGAUGUUUCUCUGCGGUACUUUGAAUCAUGCCAACUGCUAGACCAGAUUAAUUACACAAUUGUAAGAGCAGGAAAUAAACUAAUUGAGGAUAUUAUCCUCCUCUUUCUUUUCGAGAAAUACUGUUUUGUCUUGAUAUGAGUCCUCUCUUUCACCUUGACUUGUUUUGUUAACUCAACCACUUCUCAAACUUUUCAAGAGGGG